UGCCUCUACCAUGAGUUGCCAUCGAAAACUUGUAUUCGUAUACUACAGUCGAUAGAGUUUAAACGUGGAUCGAUGAAGUUUGCAUUAAAAUCAUACCAUGAGUUCAAUUACCGUAUACUUUAAUCGCUAGCGAUAAUUCGAUGGUUUUGUGAUGUCAUGUUGGUGAACAUGUUAACGUAUCCAACUUCACACUCUAUGAAUGGAUGAAUGAAAGAACGAAUGCCGCUCCUUUCUAACUAUAUAGAAAAGAUAGAGUAGGAAAUAACAAAAAUGUCAAAAAUAACACUGCAAAAUUUAAGUGUCCUAGAAUAGUGCUUAAAGCUGAAUUAACAUGAUGAUUUUAAAUUUGUAUUGUUUAUUUCUUGUCAUUGCGACUUUGACGCAGCUGUUGUCAUGACAACAGAUAACAAAACAUGUUUUGUUGAAGGAUUAUUGAUGAAUAAUUUUCCACAAAAAAUUGGAUUUUAACCACGAUAGGAAAAUGAGAACCUGCGCCUAUCCGUUUAAACCGAUUGUAGAAUUCUUGGAAAGAUAUGGCGAUCUGAGUAUGCCCACUGAAGGGCCCCAAGAAAGAGCCAACAAUAGUCAAUGGUGGGUGGAACUAACGGACACGCGAACGUGAAAUGCUGAUGCCACCGGCGACACCAAAACUACUGAGAAAUUGAGAAAAGUGUGGAGUGACUUUAAACAGCAAGAAGAAGGCAACUCGCAUACACAGAGCUGCCAAGGGAACACUGGACUGGUGGCGGUCCAGGUUCUUCCCUGAAGCCAAAGGAUUUAGAGCAGAGUGCUUGUAAAUAACUACUUGUAAAUUAAAUCCAUAAUAAAGACCUAGGGUAACUGGAUAUUGUAAAACCUAUUUACCUACCUUAUUAUUGUAAAACUUAAGAUAUUAUAAUUAAUUAAAUACAUUAUAUUGUUUUAAUCUUUCAUGGUCACUAAACAUACAUGGUAGCAAUCUCGUCAGUAAUAAUAAUUAAGUAAAUACAUAUCCUACUAAUAUCCUACUUAAUAUUAAAAAUGCGAAUGUUUGGAUGUCCGGAUG